UCUCUGUGAUGAUGAAAAUAGAUGACGAGUCUGAUGCAACCCAUUCAGUUACACCAUGUGGACUAUCGAGGCAUUUGUCUGAGAGAG
rfam:Triticum aestivum genome assembly, contig: Triticum_aestivum_CS42_TGACv1_scaffold_405686_5BL